rnacentral:rRNA from 1 species
GACGAACGCUGGCGGCGUGCUUAACACAUGCAAGUCGAACGGAAAGGCCCUGCUUUUGUGGGGUGCUCGAGUGGCGAACGGGUGAGUAACACGUGAGUAACCUGCCCUUGACUUUGGGAUAACUUCAGGAAACUGGGGCUAAUACCGGAUAGGAGCUCCUGCUGCAUGGUGGGGGUGGGAAAGUUUCGGCGGUCGGGGAUGGACUCGCGGCUUAUCAGUUUGUUGGUUGGGUAGUGGCUUACCAAGGCUUUGACGGGUAGCCGGCAUGAGAGGGUGACCGGCCACAUUGGGACUGAGAUACGGCCCAGAGUCCUACGGGAGGCAGCAGUGGGGAAUAUUGCACAAUGGGAGGAAGCCUGAUGCAGCAACGCCGCGUGCGUGAUGACGGCCUUCGGGUUGUAAACAGCUUUCGCCUGUGACGAAGCGUGAGUGACGGUAAUGGGUAAAGAAGCACCGGCUAACUACGUG